rnacentral:rRNA from 1 species
UACCAGCACCCCGAGUGGUCGGGACGAUCAUUGGGCCUAAAGCAUCCGUAGCCGGUCAUGCAAGUCUUCCGUUAAAUCCAGCCGCUCAACGGUUGGGCUGCGGAGGAUACUACGUGGCUAGGAGGCGGGAGAGGCAAGCGGUACUCAGUGGGUAGGGGUAAAAUCCUUUGAUCCAUUGAAGACCACCAGUGGCGAAGGCGGCUUGCCAGAACGCGCUCGACGGUGAGGGAUGAAAGCUGGGGGAGCAAACCGG